rnacentral:tRNA from 1 species
GAGGGUAUAGCUCAAGUGGUAGAGUGCCUGCUUAGCAUGCAUGAGGUCCUGGAUUCAACCCCCAGUACCUCCU